rnacentral:rRNA from 1 species
UUGACCUCGGAUCAGGUAGGGAUACCCGCUGAACUUAAGCAUAUCAAUAAGCGGAGGAAAAGAAACCAACAGGGAUUGCCCUAGUAACGGCGAGUGAAGCGGCAACAGCUCAAAUUUGAAAUCUGGCGUCUUUGGCGUCCGAGUUGUAAUUUGCAGAGGGCGCUUUGGCAUUGGCAGCGGUCCAAGUUCCUUGGAACAGGACGUCACAGAGGGUGAGAAUCCCGUACGUGGUCGCUAGCCUUUACCGUGUAAAGCCCCUUCGACGAGUCGAGUUGUUUGGGAAUGCAGCUCUAAAUGGGAGGUAAAUUUCUUCUAAAGCUAAAUACUGGCCAGAGACCGAUAGCGCACAAGUAGAGUGAUCGAAAGAUGAAAAGCACUUUGGAAAGAGAGUUAAAAAGCACGUGAAAUUGUUGAAAGGGAAGCGCUUGCAGCCAGACUUGCCUGUAGUUGCUCAUCCGGGUUUUUACCCGGUGCACUCUUCUACGGGCAGGCCAGCAUCAGUUUGGGCGGUUGGAUAAAGGUCUCUGUCAUGUACCUCCUCUC